rnacentral:rRNA from 1 species
UACGAACGCUGGCGGCAGGCUUAACACAUGCAAGUCGAGCGCAUCCUUCGGGGUGAGCGGCGGACGGGUGAGUAACGCGUGGGAACGUGCCCUCUUCUACGGAAUAGCCUCGGGAAACUGAGAGUAAUGCCGUAUACGCCCGCAAGGGGAAAGAUUUAUCGGAGGAGGAUCGGCCCGCGUUGGAUUAGGUAGUUGGUGGGGUAACGGCUUACCAAGCCGACGAUCCAUAGCUGGUUUGAGAGGAUGAUCAGCCACACUGGGACUGAGACACGGCCCAGACUCCUACGGGAGGCAGCAGUGGGGAAUCUUGGACAAUGGGGGCAACCCUGAUCCAGCCAUGCCGCGUGAUCGAUGAAGGCCUUAGGGUUGUAAAGAUCUUUCAGCUGGGAAGAUAAUGACGGUACCAGCAGAAGAAGCCCCGGCUAACUCCGUG